rnacentral:rRNA from 1 species
ACUCCUACGGGAGGCAGCAGUAGGGAAUCUUCCGCAAUGGACGAAAGUCUGACGGAGCAACGCCGCGUGAGUGAUGAAGGCUUUCGGGUCGUAAAACUCUGUUGUUAGGGAAGAACAAGUACGAGAGUAACUGCUCGUUCCUUGACGGCACCUAACCAGAAAGCCACGGCUAACUACGUGCCAGCAGCCGCGGUAAU